GUGGGGAAUAUUGGACAAUGGGGGGAACCCUGAUCCAGCCAUGCCGCGUGUGUGAAGAAGGCCUUUUGGUUGUAAAGCACUUUAAGUGGGGAGGAGGCUUACCUGGUUAAUACCUGGGCUAAGUGGACGUUACCCACAGAAUAAGCACCGGCUAACUCUGUGCCAGCAGCCGCGGUAAUACAGAGGGUGCGAGCGUUAAUCGGAUUUACUGGGCGUAAAGCGCGCGUAGGUGGUUAAUUAAGUCAAAUGUGAAAUCCCCGAGCUUAACUUGGGAAUUGCAUUCGAUACUGGUUAGCUAGAGUAUGGGAGAGGAUGGUAGAAUUCCAGGUGUAGCGGUGAAAUGCGUAGAGAUCUGGAGGAAUACCGAUGGCGAAGGCAGCCAUCUGGCCUAAUACUGACACUGAGGUGCGAAAGCAUGGGGAGCAAACAGGAUUAGAAACCCCAGUAGUCC
rnacentral:rRNA from 1 species